UUUUGUGGUUUGGUGGCGUGAGUCGUUUUUUUUGUUCUCCCAUACAAAUGAAUUGUGCGGAAAAUAAAAAAGUGGCCCACGAGGCAGUCCUGGCGUGCGGCCUCACUAAAAACGGUCUGGGAGGUGUAUAUGAGAAGGGAGCAAAUCCGGCCGAGCCUGAAAGGGUGAGGACAAACCGGGCGAGCAACCUCUCAGUAUCAGAUCUUGCAGACUUCCACUGCGUGUCCCUCUGUACAGCUUUGCAGGCUCCGGCCUCGGCAGCGGGGGGUUCAUAGUGGUUGUCGACCUCCACGAAACUGCACGCUCCGGCGUGACAGCGUACUGGGGAUGCCUGUGUAGAUGCAGUCCGGGCUUGCCUGGACCGCUAGCAGAUGGGCUCUGUGGAUGACUGGCCGCUGGCUAGACCUGAAACCUGAGCAACGGGAGGUAACCUCUCGCCGCGGACACCGGAAUGGUAGAAGCGGCGUGCUGCGUCCUCCUCUUGGGGCCCUUAAGCCACACCUCCCAUAGCGGGUUCGGUGCGGCGGACGGACGCCCUGGGGAAUUUAGAGGGGGAAAGCGGAUUGCCCUAGCGGUGUUGUUGGCCCUGCCGACCUCACUGCGAAAGGCGCGACUUCACCGUCGCCACCCAGUAACUUGUCUCUCCGGCGCUUCACGGCGCUGGUGGCCAACCCCGGCACACGAUAGUUACCUGGUUGAUUCUGCCAGUAGUCAUAUGCUUGUCUCAAAGAUUAAGCCAUGCAUGUCUAAGUAUAAGCAAUUAUACCGCGAAACUGCGAAUGGCUCAUUAUAUAAGUUAUCGUUUAUUUGAUAGUACCUUACUACUUGGAUAACCGUGGUAAUUCUAGAG
rnacentral:rRNA from 1 species